rnacentral:rRNA from 1 species
GUGGAUUAGAUACCCUGGUAGUCCACGCCCUAAACGUUGAUUACUCGUUGUUGGCGAUAUACUGUCAGCGACUAAGCUAAAGCGUUAAGUAAUCCACCUGGGAAGUACGACCGCAAGGUUGAAACUCAAAGGAAUUGACGGGGGCCCGCACAAGCGGAGGAGCAUGUGGUUUAAUUCGAUGAUACGCGAGGACCCUUACCUGGGCUUGAAAGUUAGUGACCGCCUCUGAAAGGAGGCUUCUCUUCGGAGCACAAAACUAGGUGCUGCACGGCUGUCGUCAGCU